rnacentral:rRNA from 1 species
AGAGUUUGAUCAUGGCUCAGAACGAACGUUGGCGGCAUGGAUUAGGCAUGCAAGUCGAGGGAAUGCCCGCAAGGGUGGAACCGGCGUAAGGGGCAGUAAGGCAUGGGUAACUUGCCCUGGGAUUUGGCAUAGCCCGUAGAAAUACGGGGUAAUUCCAAGCGACGUGGCUGUGUGGCAUCACACGGGUCACCAAAGGUCCGCUGUCCUGGGAGAGGCCCAUGUGGUAUUAGCUAGUUGGUGGGGUAACGGCCCACCAAGGCGAAGAUGCCUAGCGGGUGUGAGAGCAUGACCCGCGCCAUUGGCACUGAGAACUGGCCAAACACCUACGGGUGGCUGCAGUCGAGGAUCUUCGGCAAUGGGCGCAAGCCUGACCGAGCGAUGCCGCGUGGAUGAUGAAGGCCUUCGGGUUGUAAAAUCCUGUCGAGGGGGAGAAAGGGAAACUCGAUCUAUCCCUGGAGGAAGCACGGGCUAAGUUCGUGCCAGCAGCCGCGGUAAUAC